GUGCUUUGGCUGUUUGGCAUGUGUUCCAACUUCCAACUUUGAAACCUUGGUAGGUUGAGCGGGGGAAGUCGACAGGGCGAGCUACAGCCUGGAAUGAAAAUAAUCAGGAGGUUAGCAUGUUUCAAGUCCAGUUUGGGAGUUCCUUGGAAGCCAAACCAAAAGUCUGGCUAUGAUUGAUGGCCGUCCGAUCGUACGGUCGCGACGGCGCCAGCCACCAAUACAUUCCGUAGGAUUCGUACCGUUGCAUAGCGGGAAGGAUCACGGAUGGCAGCGGCCAACGGACCAGCAGAGAUGUACGUACGCGCUGACAGUUGGUUGUAGUGGGAGCACUGACUACAACUGUUAGGUGUACGUACUUUUGACAGGAUACCGGCUAAAAGUUGAUCAAUUAACCUGCUGCUUUUAAUAUUGCUUGAGGAGGACAACUCUAUGGCUUAAUUGCAUAGCUGUACGCUCAUGUGUAGCUGUUUCGAUCGAGCCCAUGCGAUGUGUCCUGGGCCUCAGCAAACCAUCCUACACACCACCCGUGCGCUCCAUAUAGCCUAACUCCGGUCUUGUACUCUUCCAACUUUCUGAUUUUGCUUUACCAAUCAACUGAUCAAUCAGCUCCGAUAUGUUAUUCCCACCA